rnacentral:rRNA from 1 species
CGUAGGCAGCAAGCGUUGUUCGGAGUUACUGGGCGUAAAGGGUGUGUAGGCGGUUAUUAAAGUUUGGUGUGAAAUCUCCCGGCUCAACCGGGAGGGCGCGCCGAAUACUGAAUGACUUGGAGUGCGGGAGAGGAAAGUGGAAUUCCUGGUGUAGCGGUGAAAUGCGUAGAUAUCAGGAGGAACACCGGUGGUGUAGACGGCUUUCUGGACCGUAACUGACGCUGAGACACGAAGGCGUGGGUAGCAAACAGGAUUAGAUACCCUGGUAGUCCACGCCCUAAACGAUGCAUAUUUGGUGUGGGCAGUUCAUUCUGUCCGUGCCGGAGCUAACGCGUUAAAUAUGCCGCCUGGGGAGUACAGUCGCAAGGCUG